UACAGAGGUCUCAAGCGUUGUUCGGAUUCAUUGGGCGUAAAGGGUGCGUAGGCGGCGCGGUAAGUCGGGUGUGAAAUCUCGGAGCUUAACUCCGAAACUGCAUUCGAUACUGCCGUGCUUGAGGACUGGAGAGGAGACUGGAAUUUACGGUGUAGCGGUGAAAUGCGUAGAUAUCGUUUGGAACGCCAAUGGUGAAAACAGGUUGCUGGGAGUGUGCUGACGCUGAGACACGAAAGCCAGGGGAGCGAACGGG
rnacentral:rRNA from 1 species